GACGAACGCUGGCGGCGCGCCUAACACAUGCAAGUAGAACGCUGAGGACUGGUGCUUGCACUGGUCUAAGGAGUUGCGAACGGGUGAGUAACGCGUAGGUAACCUACCUCAUAGCGGGGGAUAACUAUUGGAAACGAUAGCUAAUACCGCAUGACAAUAGGGUACACAUGUACCCUAUUUAAAAGGGGCAAAAUGCUUCACUAUGAGAUGGACCUGCGUUGUAUUAGCUAGUUGGUAAGGUAACGGCUUACCAAGGCGACGAUACAUAGCCGACCUGAGAGGGUGAUCGGCCACACUGGGACUGAGACACGGCCCAG
rnacentral:rRNA from 1 species